rnacentral:lncRNA from 1 species
UUCUCCGAACGACCCCCGUUAGUCAUCUUCUUCAGCAGCACAAACCAACUACACAACCCCCAUCUCUCUGUCUUGCGUCCUCUUCAGACUGAAGUAACGCCAUUGAAGACCCGAGAACAGACCCCCUUCAUCUUCUCCACCUUUCAAAUCCCUCGCCCUUAAAAGCGAAACCAGCCAUGAAAAUAGCUUCAAAACCAGUUGUGUAAACUCACCAUUUUCGCCAUCAAAGCAACACGAAACAGCCCGAAACAACUCCAAAAUCAUGAGCUACUGUCAUGGAGUUCGCUGGGUCUGUUUUCUGGUUUAGUUUGAAUUUUCCGGCGAGUUUCGAUUGCGAUUUGGAGUCGAGAAAAACAAAACAGUAUUUCGAGGUCGUAUUUGUCAUUUUGAGUUCAUCGAGGUUCGAAGGUUCCUAUUCUUCGUCCUUUGUUUCAUUUUGUUUAUUUCUUAUAAUUAUGGGUCAAUGUGAAGAUUUGUGUGAAUUCUUGUUGCUUGUGAUAUGUUGAGGAGGAAUCUUUACUCUUAAUUAAAAUUAUUUUGAUCGUUUGAGCUAAUUCACCAACUCGUUUGAUGCAAAAAUUGAGAUAGAACUGUUAUAUUCAUUUGUUGGUGGCCAUGUUUAAAACAGGUAUUAAUUCUUAAAAAGAGUGUUCGGCCAUUUGUACUUAUAGCUUUGUCCCUUUUUCUUAUGAACUUGAAGGAUCGAAAUUGGUGCUAACUUUCAGUAGGCUUGUUUGUGGCGUUUGAAUUGUCUAAAAGGAUGCCGUUGAGGGGUGUUGUCAUUUGGUUCACAAUGUUCUCUGGUUAUUGUAAAGUGGGUAAUUUUGUCAGACGCCUCUUCCUCUUUUGAUCCACUGGUUUGCAUUUGUUCUUUGAAUUUUAACACAAAAGCACAUAAGGCUUAUGUUAUAUAAAG